CGGCAAGAGCUCAAAUUUGAAAGCUGGCUCCUUCGGGGUCCGCAUUGUAAUUUGCAGAGGAUGUUUCGGGAGCGGCCCCUAUCUAAGUGUCCUGGAACGGACCGUCAUAGAGGGUGAGAAUCCCGUACGUGCCCGGUGGCCGCCCCCGUGUGAAGCUCCUUCGAC
rnacentral:rRNA from 1 species